UAUGUUUCUUGUUUUUCUUCAGCUGCUCCUGGUGUCCCUGAGUCUAGAUUUCUUCCAUUUACCCUCUAGGAAAUUAAGCUUUGCAGUUUUCUAGGGCAGGUGAGAGCCAGUUCCGUGUUAGUAUGUAGUGAAUAAGGGGAUUGUUUUGAUUGCUUUUCAGAUGGUAUGCAAUUCCUGUUGGUUAGCCUCAUCUGAAAACAUCACUCCUGGAUACAUAGAACAUCACUGCGCAUGUGCAUCUCCCCACCCCUUGAUGCCUAGUAUCUAACGUUCCUCCAGUUUCUGGUGCUCUGAUGCAUUGCUUUUGGGCUUGUCUUACUACAGCCGCUUUCUUUGGUCCUAAGUCAUUUACCACUUGUCAUAUGUCCUUUCUAGUUUCCAGGGAUAUUGUAUUUUAUAUUUAUGGUUUUAUGCCAUUUAUCUCAGUUGUCAUUUGGCAUUUCAAGAAGGAGAGGUGGUAGUGUUUAAGUGGAAUUAACUACUUGUGUUUCUGAUGUGGUCUUUUUAUAUUUCUGACAGGGUCUUGUUUUACCAAGUACUAGUCUUCAGUCUAUCCUGUUUACUUGAUUUUUUCCCACUCAACUCACAAACAUUUUUGAAUCAUCUCAUGAAUUCUGCUUUCUAUUUACAUUUUUGCCCUUUUGUCUUUUCCUCUUCGCUGGCAAACUUCCUGAAAACAUAAAACUAGUUGAUUCACUUCUU